GAUGAAGAACGCAGCGAAAUGCGAUAAGUAAUGUGAAUUGCAGAAUUCAGUGAAUCAUCGAAUCUUUGAACGCACAUUGCGCCCAUUAGUAUUCUAGUGGGCAUGCCUGUUCGAGCGUCAUUAAGUCCACUUAAGCCCUGCUUAGUGUUGGGAGACUGCUCCAGCGGUGCUACCCUGUAGCUACCCUGCAGCUCCUCAAAGACAGCGGCGGAGUUGUGGUAUCCUCUGAGCUUAGUAACUUGUUCUAGCUUUCGAGAACACCACUUCCCCUGCCGUAAAACCCUUAAUUUUUAAUGGUUGACCUCGGAUCAGGUAGGAAUACCCGCUGAACUUAAGCAUAUCAAUAAGCGGAGGA
rnacentral:misc_RNA from 1 species